rnacentral:rRNA from 1 species
GCGUGGCGGCGACUACCAUGCAGUCGAACGGUAACAGGAAGCAGCUUGCUUCUUUGCUGACGAGUGGCGGACGGGUGAGUAAUGUCUGGGAAACUGCCUGAUGGAGGGGGAUAACUACUGGAAACGGUAGCUAAUACCGCAUAACGUCGCAAGACCAAAGAGGGGGACCUUCGGGCCUCUUGCCAUCGGAUGUGCCCAGAUGGGAUUAGCUUGUUGGUGGGGUAACGGCUCACCUAGGCGACGAUCCCUAGCUGGUCUGAGAGGAUGACCAGCCACACUGGAACUGAGACACGGUCCAGACUCCUACGGGAGGCAGCAGUGGGGAAUAUUGCACAAUGGGCGCAAGCCUGAUGCAGCCAUGCCGCGUGUAUGAAGAAGGCCUUCGGGUUGUAAAGUACUUUCAGCGGGGAGGAAGGGAGUAAAGUUAAUACCUUUGCUCAUUGACGUUACCCGCAGAAGAAGCACCGGCUAACUCCGUGCCAGCAGCCGCGGUAAUACGGAGGGUGCAAGCGUUAAUCGGAAUUACUGGGCGUAAAGCGCACGCAGGCGGUUUGUUAAGUCAGAUGUGAAAUCCCCGGGCUCAACCUGGGAACUGCAUCU